rnacentral:rRNA from 1 species
UGACAGUAUCCCUACGGGGAGGCAGCAUGGGGGAAUAUUGCACAAUGGGGGAAACCCUGAUGCAGCCAUGCCGCGUGUGUGAAGAAGGCCUUCGGGUUGUAAAGCACUUUCAGUAGGGAGGAAGGUAGUGUAGUUAACACCUGCACUAUUUGACGUUACCUACAGAAGAAGCACCGGCUAACUCCGUGCCAGCAGCCGCGGUAAUACGGAGGGUGCGAGCGUUAAUCGGAAUUACUGGGCGUAAAGCGCAUGCAGGCGGCCUGUUAAGUCAGAUGUGAAAGCCCGGGGCUUAACCUCGGAAUUGCAUUUGAAACUGGCAGGCUAGAGUCUUGUAGAGGGGGGUAGGAAUUUCAGGUGUAGCGGUGAAAUGCGUAGAGAUCUGAAGGAAUACCAGUGGCGAAGGCGGCCCCCUGGACAAAGACUGACGCUCAGAUGCGAAAGCGUGGGGAGCAAACAGGAUUAGAUACCCUGGUAG